UGAGUAACACGUAUCCAACCUGCCGUCUACUCUUGGACAGCCUUCUGAAAGGAAGAUUAAUACAAGAUGGCAUCAUGAGUCCGCAUGUUCACAUGAUUAAAGGUAUUCCGGUAGACGAUGGGGAUGCGUUCCAUUAGAUAGUAGGCGGGGUAACGGCCCACCUAGUCUUCGAUGGAUAGGGGUUCUGAGAGGAAGGUCCCCCACAUCGGAACUGAGACACGGUCCAA
rnacentral:rRNA from 1 species